UUCUUUGCGUUACUUUUACUACAUUUGGGUGAUACAUGUCAAAAUCAAGCGUUUAAAAGAUAUUUUAUUUCUCGUGCAAUUUUCAGUUUUGAAAGAUUUAAUUAUUGCAAUGGGAGUCGUUGAUUUUACAAAAAGCUUAGUGAAUAACCCAUAUAGAUGGUCCCUUGUGAAAGGAAUAGGGAUGUUUGUACUAGCCAUUUAUAUUGCACGUGAGUUGGAAGCAGCAGAAGCAGAAGCCAUUGCGGACACAGCAGCACAAUUAACACAGCCCCGAUGACAUUAAUAACAUCAUGAAUGUACGGAAUGAUAGGUGAAGAAAGGAUGGAGAAGCUGCUUUUAUACAAAGAUUUUCUUGUUUUUAUGUACAAAUUCAUUCGGAAUAAAAUAUUUUAAAACUGAAAA